UGGGGAAUAUUGGACAAUGGGGGCAACCCUGAUCCAGCCAUGCCGCGUGAGUGAUGAAGGCCUUAGGGUUGUAAAGCUCUUUCGCCGGUGAAGAUAAUGACGGUAACCGGUAAAGAAGCCCCGGCUAACUUCGUGCCAGCAGCCGCGGUAAUACGAAGGGGGCUAGCGUUGUUCGGAAUUACUGGGCGUAAAGCGCGCGUAGGUGGUUCUGUAAGUCGGAUGUGAAAGCCCAGGGCUUAACCUUGGAACUGCAUUCGAUACUGCAAGACUAGAGUAUGGUAGAGGGAAGUGGAAUUUCCGGUGUAGCGGUGAAAUGCGUAGAUAUCGGAAGGAACACCAGUGGCGAAGGCGACUUCCUGGGCCAAUACUGACACUGAGGUGCGAAAGCGUGGGGAGCAAACAGGAUUAGAUACCCCCGUAGUCC
rnacentral:rRNA from 1 species